rnacentral:lncRNA from 1 species
CAGAAUCUACGCAGCAUACUUCCUUUGCUGGGAAAAUUCCAAGUUACCGUCACUUUCUCCUUAAGAUUAAUCUUCUGUUUAUUCCUGUGAUUUUUUUUUUUUUUUUUUUUUUUGAGACAGGGACUCACUGUGUAGCCUAGGCUGGCUUCAAACUCACAGCAAUCCUCCUGCCUCAGCCUCCUGAGGGGCUGAGAUUAUAGGGGUAUACCACCACACUUGGCUAUACCUAGUAAAAUUUAAAUAAAGUAAAUAUGCCAAUGGCCAAUGACUGAACAAGAUUAUUUCUAUUUAUUCCCCAGGCAUUUCUCAAAGGUUACUGUUUGCUUUGAUUGCUCCCUAUCUUUCCCCUACAUGUGAAUCUGUCCUGUCUCCCCACUUUUGCACUCUCUCCAUUCUGCCUUCAGGGGUUUUAAGGUCUCACUCACUCUAUAGAAGUGAUUUCCAAAUGAACAUCACUUGAGCCUUAAUCUCUUCUCCCAGCUUCCAUCCUGUAUUUUCCAGGCCUGCUUAGAUGAUUCCAUUUGAAUUCCUCACUGGCACAUACAAGUAAACAAGUCUAAAACCAGUCCAUUUUCCCCUUGUGACUGGUUUCUCUUGACUUCCUACUUCCAUUUGGGCAAUCACUGCCCUCCUAGUCCCUGGGCUCAAAUCUUGGCCCUGUCUCUGACUCAUCCCCCUAAAUGGGACCCACCCUCUGCUUUGCACCUAAUCUAAUUGCUUGCCAAAUUUUUCUGUCUUAAUGUGCUCUCAUCUUUUUCAUGCUAUUAUCUCAUCAAACUCCAAACUGGGUUUCCAACUCUAAGCCAUUUUUAAAUGAUCAAGUUAAUUAAUUGUCCUAACGUACAAUUUGGAUUUUUGUCACUUUCUUGCUCAGAAAUCAAUAGCUCCCCAGUAGCUAACAGAGUAUAAACUGCUCACCCUGGUAUUUAAGACUCUGCAAGAACUGCUCCUAACUUUCUCUGUCAAUCUUGUGUUCCAUUCUUUCCUAGCAUGAAUCUUGUCCUAAAUCUAAUCUCUAUGUCCAAUCCCACGUAUACAAUCACUUGCUCUUACAUUUCAUGCUGCUUGACGUUCUCCUUGCUUUAUGAAAAAAGUAAAAUAUAGGGCCGGGAUUUAGCUCAGUGGUUUAGCCGCCUGCUAUGCAAGCGCAAGGACCUGAGUUUGAUCCUGGGUACCAAAAAAAAGUAAACUAUCAGUGGUAAAAAAAUUUAUUUCUUCCUUUCUAAGUGUACUUCUAUUAAGUGUUUUGUAAUUCCGGAAUGUUAUAAUCAUUUUCAGGCAUGUACACACACAUUUAUUUAUAACGAUAUAUAAUAAAAUCAUUCAACAUAUGCUUUUGUGCAACUUGAUUUUUUUAGUUAAUAAUAAAAUCUGUCCAUUUU